UCUCAAUCUACUAAAGAUCUAAAUUAUUUUGAUAUAGUUUCAGACUUACUUUGUAACUGAAAGUGAUUUUUCUCAUUUUUGUUGAUAGAAAUAAAAACAUCAGUAGGAGGGGAAGGAGGAAGGAAGGAGAAGAAAGAGGAAGAAUAGGAGGAGAAGAGGAAGAGAGGAAGAAGUCGUGAACAGCCCUCCUGCAUUUUGCAUCAGGUAGAAAAGUCAGUUGAAUGUUGGGAAGAACACAAAUAAUGGAGUCUUGCUUUGUCGCCAAGGCCAGAGGGCAGUGGUGGUGUCUCAGCUCACUCAACCUCCACCUCCCGGAUUCAAGCAAUUCUCCUGCCUCGGCUUCUUGAGUAGCUGGGACUACAGGUGCCGGCCACCACACCUAGCUAAUUUUUGUAUAUUUAAUAGAGACAGGGUUUCACCAUGUUGGCCAGGCUUGUCUUGAACUCCUGACCUCAGGUGAUCCACCCACCUUGGCCUCCCAAAAUUC
rnacentral:lncRNA from 1 species